CUGGAUUUGAUGCUCAUCUUGACCUAAAAUCGUUAAAAAUUUCACAUGAUAUCAACCAUAUUGCUGCUAUUCCUAUCCAAGUAUUCCCACCUUUAGUUCAAUCCUCUCACCAAACAUGUUCUACAUAUGAAGUAGAACAUGUAAUCUUUGUUCAACCAUACAUCACCCUUCCAUCAGAAACCCAUCAAUCAUCUCAACCUU
rnacentral:lncRNA from 1 species